rnacentral:rRNA from 1 species
UACGUAGGGUGCAAGCGUUAAUCGGAAUUACUGGGCGUAAAGCGUGCGCAGGCGGUGAUGUAAGACAGAUGUGAAAUCCCCGGGCUCAACCUGGGAACUGCAUUUGUGACUGCAUCGCUGGAGUGCGGCAGAGGGGGAUGGAAUUCCGCGUGUAGCAGUGAAAUGCGUAGAUAUGCGGAGGAACACCGAUGGCGAAGGCAAUCCCCUGGGCCUGCACUGACGCUGAGGAGCGAAAGCGUGGGGAGCGAACAGG